GGCAUUUUAAUUUCAAGAUUUCUAGCAUAAUGCUUUCUUGGGAACUGCUCUCCCACCAGUUUCUCAGACUGUAUUUUAUCACUACUUCUUACUAUCACCACAUAUCUACUUGUUGAUAAAUCCAAAGUAAACAACAAUGAAUUCUGCUAUGAUGACUUGGGAUUUUGGAUCAUACCCAACAUUUGUACCUUCAUGCUACCUUUCAGAACUGCCAAGAAACAGUAUCUGACAGUGCAGCUGUGAACAUUUCAUAGGACCAGAUGAAAACCUAUGUGGAGAAGAAACCUACUUGACUGUGAAAAAUUGUCUAACAAGUACUGGGCCUAUUUGGAAACUCAGGAGGGAAGCAUCAUGCUGAGGAACAUCCAUCAUGCAUUGUUUCAAGGGCUUUUACAGUGAACGGGAGCUGUGAAAAUGCCCAGGGUCAAGCAGACAGCAAGAUUUAUAAUGCACUCUGCAUCCUAAUACUGCCUCUGCAAAAUGGAUUGCCAACAAAGACAGGAACAAAGAGAAUGGGAGAGGAGGAAAAAAGACUUUUUUGUCGCAGUUCCAGUAAACAUAUGUGAUUGUAAUGUUUUCACUAACUACUUUUCCCAUUUUUUAUUAGAUUCAUACAACUAAAGGCAGAUAAAAAAUAAAUCAGACUCUGUUGGCAAUGUACUCCCCACAAUCCGUUUUUAUACACACAUAAUAUCUUUCACCUUUUCUUAUGAUAACAUGGGCUAGGCUCAGUGAUAGUUUAUUACCUAUCCUGUUUUUAGACUGUGAUGCCUAAGAAAUAGGAUGAAUUCCUAAUGAAUACACAUUUACUACUAGAAACUGGUCCUGAAACCUACCAGCCCCAUAGUUAGCAUUUUUUCAGCAGCUGUAGCGGUAAGCAGACUGCUCUGUACAAUGUGGCUGAACAAGAGGUCACCUAUGGCUUACUGAUGCAUCUUUGUCUGUGGAUUCCCUACGUCUGCUUAAUCUUCACAAAGACUAGAGAUUUUUUAGCUCCAUUUAUUAGCAGAUCAUGUUAAUUUACUUAGUCAGUUGUAGAAGGCAAAGAGGAGUUAGGAACUGAUCCAAUGGUAGUGUCAUUCAUUCUGCCUCAGGUUUUAUAUGUUGUUCCUUCACUUCAUGCAUGUGGGGAUGACACUGAUUGAUGGAGAUA